rnacentral:lncRNA from 1 species
GCAUGAAAUUGCAGGGGAAGUGACAGAAGUUGGUAGCAAAGUAAGAAAGGUUAAAGUGGGAGAUAAAGUUGGAGUUGGAUGCAUGGUCGGUGCAUGCCACAGCUGCGAGAGCUGUGCCAAUGACCUUGAAAAUUACUGUCCGAAAAUGAUACUCACCUACAGUUCCAUUAACACUGACGGAACAAUCACAUACGGAGGCUACUCUGAUCACAUGGUUGCCAAUGAGCGCUACAUUGUUCGAUUCCCUGAUAGCAUGCCCCUUGAUGCUGCUGCCCCCCUGCUUUGCGCCGGGAUUACCGUGUACAGUCCAUUGAAAUACUUUGGACUAGCAGAACAAGGAAAGCAUGUAGGCAUCGUUGGCCUUGGCGGGCUUGGUCAUGUCGCUGUCAAAUUUGCCAAGGCUUUUGGGGCCAAAGUGACAGUAAUUAGCACCUCUCCAAGCAAGAAGACUGAAGUUCUUGAACAUCUUGGCGCUGAUUCAUUUUUGAAUAGCCGUGACCCUGACCAAUUGCAGGUAAUUUAAUUAGAUUCACGCAUAUAUUGGAGAAAAAUAAAAAAUAAAAUGCAUUCCUUAAUUUUAAUAUAUAUUUUGUAAUAACUUCAUCAGGGUGCUAUGGGCACAUUGGAUGGUAUUAUUGACACGGUGUCCGCUGUGCACCCCAUUUUGCCAUUGGUCGGUCUAUUAAAGUCCCAGGGCAAGCUUGUUCUGGUUGGUGCUCCGGACAAGCCACUCGAGCUACCUGUGAUUUCCUUAAUUAUGGGUAAGUUCUAACAAAAUUCUUCGGAAACUUGUGGUCUAAAACUUGUAAUUAAUAUAAUUCAUUUGAUAACAUAAAAUGACAUAGCAGGGAGGAAGACGGUGUCAGGGAGCAGCACUGGGGGAAUGAAAGAGACGCAAGAGAUGAUUGAUUUUGCAGCAAAACACAAUAUAACAGCUGACAUUGAGGUUAUUUCGAUGGAUUAUGUCAAUACGGCAAUGGAGAGGCUUGCCAAGGCUGAUGUUCGGUAUCGAUUUGUCAUUGAUAUUGCAAACACCUUGUACGCCACCAAACCUUGAAGAAUCAGAAUCAGAUUGAUGUCUUCAAUUCACAACCUUGUUCCAUGAUCCACUUUGCUAUAUGUAAUGCUCCCUCGAUCAUUACACUCUUUUAGCGCUUAAAUUACUUUUAAUUUCCAGUUACAUCGACCCUAAUUAUGUCGUGAUUGCCGAAAAACUAUAAAUGUUAAUGAAAUAAAACAUUGUUCAUAUAAAAUAUUUAGCAUAUGUACCUUUCACCAAUUGUCCAGUCGAAAUGUUUGUUUUUGUUCUAAAUCACAUAUAGAGUUUUGCUCUCAUGCGGCACUUUUCAUUUUUUGUUCUUCUCAUACCAACGCUAUCCAGUCAUAUAAUUCAAUAAAAUUAGUAUCGAUGGCAGAAAUCUAUAAAAUCAUAUUCGCAAAGGUACGUAGCAACAGCAGCGUCUAGGUUCCUCUGACCUUGAACAAAAAUAUACGAUUGGUCUAAAUAACUCAUGAAUUCAUAUCACAAUUUUCAACACUGCAUGUAUGUUUUCCAGCAGAAAAUUUCUUAGGAUUAGGGUUUAGUGCUAUGUUGAAUUUUUAUCGAGUAUUGAAUCAAUCAUUGAAUUAAUAGUUAUAAUUGUUUUAAAUUUUUCAAUUUUUACAAUUUCUUCUAUUAAUAACUAUUGAUUCAAUAUUCAGUAAAAAUUUAAUUUAGCGCGCAAUCCUUAUUCGACUUUGCAACCAAAGAAAACAAACAAAACUUCAUCCGUCAAUGGAAGCAUUUUCUUAGGACCUCACGGUUCACCCCCAAUGUUGAUGCAUGGUGGAUGAUUCUAUCAAGAUGAAUAUAGUUCAAGUUUUACCACCCCAUCAAAUCUAUCAUGAAAUUUCAUUUAUUCUUUUUUUUUUUUUGGUAGAUCUUAAUAUGUACUAUGAUUGAAAAAGAGAGAGAGAGAAUAGUAAAAUCCAUAUUUAAAAUGGUAUGUGGUAUGUACAUAGUAGUACAUGAUCUAUAAUGGUAUGUAUAUGAUGUACAUGAUAUGAUCUAAUCUCUGCUUGUGUACAUUAUGAAAUGUAAUAUUUUUAUCAUAUUUAGGAGGAUAAACGUCUUAUUAUUUAAGAUAAUAAUUGUUAAUGUGUACAUUAUAAAUACUCAUCAUCUGGUUAUUCUAGAAGGCUCUUUGAUAGGAUUCUAUUGGUAUUUGAAAAAAAAUAUCAAUAUUCUCCCACUUUAAUUAAUUUUUUUCCAAGAUGUUUAAUAAAUAAAUUUUAAGUAUAAAAAAUAUCAAUAUUCUCCCAGUUUAAAAAAAUUCACAAAAAAAAAUUAUUUUUAAAAAUAAUUACACAAAUUUAUUAUUAUUUUUAUUUAAUUUAAAUUUAACUGCAAGAUUUUUAAAAAUUCAAAAGAAUUUAAAUUAAGAAAAGAUCUUAUCUUUUUAAAAAUAUAUAAAUUUAAUUUUUUAUUCAACAAUAGUUAUACAAUACCUUAUGAUCUUCUUUUAUGUUAAAAAGUAAAAAAACUACAAAAUUCACAUUAGCCUUUAAAAUUUAUCAAAAAAAAUAUUUGUAAUUAUUUAAAAAAAAAUCAAAAUUUUUGUGAUCAUUAAUUCCAACGAAUCAGCGCGCUGGGUUCUCAUUUUGCCGUAAGUCUCAUAAUGGUUGUUGGUGGUGUUGCUUUUGACAGGUACCCCACGUUUGAGUUUGUGACACUAGGAAUUGAAUAGUAAUAAUAAUGGUGAAGGUGACCCAAGAAUUACCUUUGCUGGUCCGCCAUGUCAUGGACGGUGCACAUCCAUACAUAGAGCAUCCGUAUGUCACAUCUUAGCUCACUGAUUACUUCAGCAAAAUUUAUGACCCCCUCUCUCCACCUCCCUGCUGUUAGCCUGUUCCCGAUAAUUAUUAUUUUUGAGAUGCUCGAAAAUAAUUUUAAAGUUAAAAACUGAUUUUUUAUAUAUAUUAGGAAAUUUUAAAAUUAUUCAUAUUAAUUAUAAAAUAAAAUUAUUUUGAAGAGAUUAUUAUCAUUAUCAAUAAUAUUGAGAUGAAAAAAUUAUUAUAUAUAUUAUGUUUAUUAUUAAUUAUUAUAUAUACACAAUAAAAAUUAUUAUACAUAUAUUAAAUAAAUUUUAUUUAAUAUUAUAUCUAAUUUAAGAAUGAUCAAAAUUUUAAUUUACUCUUUUUUCAAUAAAUUAUUUAUGCAUCACAUCUAAUAAUGAUUAUUUUAAAAAUUAUAAUAUUAUCAAAUUAGCCCUUAUUAUAUAUAUUUUUUUCUCAAUUAGGACAUCUUCACUUUAUUAAGAUUAAGAUGUUAAAAAAAUAUUAAAAAAAUAUCUCGUCUUUAAUGCAUUAAAAAAUUAAGAUUAUAUUUUUCUAUCCGUUAAUAACUUAAUAUAUUGAAAUCAUCACUAAAUCAGUUGUUAAAUCCACGAUUACACAGUUAUAUUAACUAAAUUUAACGGCUGAAAGUAACUGUGGUACCAUAUUAUAGUUACAACAUAACUGGACCUCACUAAAUAAUGAAUAUAUUAUAAAAUAAAAAAUUUUAUAUUAAAUUUUAUAUUUAUAUUUUUUAAUUUAUCUUCUCUUUAAUAUAAUAAAAAAAACUUGAUUAGAAACAUCUGUACACACAUUAACAUUCAUAUGAAGCAUAAACAAAAACAGGUACUUUUACUCGUCUCAUCACAUCAUUCAAACCAAUACAAUAAUGAUAACAUUGCCGUUCUCUCAUCAAAAUGGCAAAAUCACCAGAAGAAGAACAUCCAGUAAAGGCCUUUGGGUGGGCAGCCCGAGACAGCUCCGGCCAUCUCUCCCCAUUCAACUUGUCGUGCGAGUUCAUUAAGUACUUUCUCUUAUUUUAUUUUAAGAAGGACAAAAGUAACUAAACCAUUUUGUUACUGUACGUGUUGAUGAAAUGGUCAUAAACGUGGAUAUGUAAAAUACGGACAGGGAAACGGGUGAUGAGGAUGUGAGGCUGAAGGUAUUGUAUUGUGGGAUCUGCCAUACUGAUCUCCACAACAUCAAGAAUGAAUGGGGCUUCUCUCUCUUCCCUAUGGUUCCUGGGUAUGUACCCAUGAUCUAUCUACCCUUCAAUUUUUGUUUCUUUUGCAUUUUUUUUUGUUUCGGGUCAAACCCAGCUACGCAUGAACAGGCUGUUGUUUCCGUCACGGCGCUCCCUAAUUAUUAACUACGGUACUUGCCUGUGUAUGCAGAAAGAGAUUAACCAAGGCCAAGGCUUUGGGAUCUUACCGUUCCAUAUUUGAUGUGAUGAAUAACUGGAAUCUCCUGGUAAAAGUGACAAACAUAUAUAUUUACGGGUCAUCAUCGUUUAAUAAGAUUUUCUUACAACAAAUUAAACAAAAAUAGAGACACACAAAUUUUAAUAUAAUAUAAAAUAAAAUAUAUUGGAUGAAAAUAUGUAUUUUUCUUAUACAUUAUCUUCAUAACUCUUGGUAGAUUUAUACUCUCUAUCUUAUAAAUAAAGGGUGGAAAUAACAAUUAACUCAAUUAAAGCGUUGUUAGCAUAGAUAUCUUCUUUUUUUCCCAAUAAAAUUAAUUUAUUUCCAUUUGACUCUGUACAAUUUUUAAAUAUUCCAGUGUAGUGGCCAGUGGGGUGCCUUGGCAUCAUUAGAGUGUGGAGAUCACACUAAAGACUUAACCCAUCAAAAUGGUACACCUGUGUAAUUGCGGAAUGGUCAAUUAUGAGAUUUUACUUGAGGGAUAGACGAGGUUGACAAAUAAACGGAGACAUGACUUGUAACUUGAAUUUGCAUUCAAAUGAAGACUUGUAAAUUUUCAAAUUUCAAAUUUCUUUGCUUGAAGAAUUUUAUGAUUGAGAAACUUACUGACAAAAGAAAAGUUGGUGGAGUGGUGUAGUAUAUACGUUUCCAGAAGCUAGCCAGUUAUAUAUUGUCAAAAACAGAAUCAAAUACCUUGUUUCCACUAAAGUAAUUUAUCCUAAACAAUUUGUAUUUAUUUGCAGGCAUGAAAUUGCAGGGGAAGUGACAGAAGUUGGCAGCAAAGUAAGAAAGGUUAAAGUGGGAGAUAAAGUUGGAGUUGGAUGCAUGGUUGGUGCAUGCCACAGCUGCGAGAGCUGUGCCAAUGACCUUGAAAAUUACUGUCCGAAAGUGAUACCCACCUACACUUCCAUUAACACUGACGGAACAAUCACAUACGGAGGCUACUCUGAUCAAAUGGUUGCCAAUGAGCGCUACAUUGUUCGAUUCCCUGAUAGCAUGCCCCUUGAUGCUGCUGCUCCCCUGCUUUGCGCCGGGAUUACCGUGUACAGUCCAUUGAAAUACUUUGAACUAGCAGAACAUGGAAAGCAUGUAGGCAUCGUUGG